GGUCCUAUAGUGUAGUUGGCUAUCACUAGGGAUUCUGAAUACCAUCGCUUCCCUCAACCUCAGUUCGAGUCUGGGUAGGACCU
rnacentral:tRNA from 1 species